UACAGAGGAUGCAAGCGUUAUCCGGAAUGAUUGGGCGUAAAGCGCACGCAGGCGGUCUGUCAAGUCGGAUGUGAAAUCCCCGGGCUCAACCCGGGAACUGCAUUCGAAACUGGCAGACUAGAGUCUUGUAGAGGGGGGUAGAAUUCCAGGUGUAGCGGUGAAAUGCGUAGAGAUCUGGAGGAAUACCGGUGGCGAAGGCGGCCCCCUGGACAAAGACUGACGCUCAGGUGCGAAAGCGUGGGGAGCAAACAGG
rnacentral:rRNA from 1 species